rnacentral:misc_RNA from 1 species
UACAAUGUUGAGCCCAAAACUAGCCAUCAGGAUAAAGUUGGAAAAUGUAGCUAAAACAGAAUAUCGUUUAGACCAAUAACUUGGGAUUUUCCAGAAAUCCAAAACUGGACCAGCCUAUCAAAUCCCAGAAAAUUCCACUUUUAGACGAAAACAGAUCAAAGUUCAAUUUAAACGCUGCACUGCUAAUAAUUUUUUGUCUAAUGAUCAUAUGUGCCAAUAUAACUUUGAUAAAACACUCUCCACUCCGCCAACAAUGCAUAUAGUACCAUUACAACACAACAAAAUCCUAAACUAAAAUAGGAGGAUCCACAUUAGUUCAAAACCCUAGCGAAUUCGAAAUUAGAUGUUGCAGAGCACAAAGGCAAACCUAAUAAAGACUUCACCACUUGAUAGAAUCCUUUUCAUCAGAGAACUUUCGCAGCACAACUGUAGCAACCCUAAUCAUUGUUGCUGCUGAUUCUGCUGCUGCUGUUGGGGAUUGAGAGGAGGUGGCAUACCAGGACGAGGAGGUCCAUAAAUAGGAACCCCACCAGCCUGAGGGGGCAUCCCAGGACGAGGAGGAGGUGGGGCUGGCAUUCCAGGCCUUGGAGCAGGAGGCCCUCUCAUCAUCGGUGCCUGUGGCUGGGGUGGCAUUCCCAUUGG